rnacentral:rRNA from 1 species
CCUACGGGGGGCAGCAGUGGGGAAUAUUGCACAAUGGGGGAAACCCUGAUGCAGCGACGCCGCGUGAGUGAAGAAGUAUUUCGGUACGUAAAGCUCUAUCAGCAGGGAAGAAAAUGACGGUACCUGACUAAGAAGCCCCGGCUAACUACGUGCCAGCAGCCGCGGUAAUACGUAGGGGGCAAGCGUUAUCCGGAUUUACUGGGUGUAAAGGGAGCGUAGACGGCAGCGCAAGUCUGGAGUGAAAUCCCAUGGCUUAACCAUGGAACUGCUUUGGAAACUGUGCAGCUAGAGUGCAGGAGAGGUAAGCGGAAUUCUUAGUGUAGCGGUGAAAUGCGUAGAUAUUAGGAGGAACACCAGUGGCGAAGGCGGCUUACUGGACUGUAACUGACGUUGAGGCUCGAAAGCGUGGGGAGCAAACAGGAUUAGAUACCCGGGUAGUC